CGUUGAAACACCAGUUCUCGUGCGAUCAACGACGUUAAGCAAUGUCAAGCUUGGUCAGUACUUAGAUGGAUGACUGAUUGGGAAUAGCAGGUGCU